rnacentral:rRNA from 1 species
AUUGCCCUAGUAACGGCGGAGCGAAGCGGCAACAGCUCAAAUUUGAAAUCUGGCUACUUUGUAGUCCGAGUUGUAAUUUGUAGAGGAUGCUUUUGGUGAGGUGCCUUCCGAGUUCCCUGGAACGGGACGCCAGAGAGGGUGAGAGCCCCGUACGGUUGGAUACCAAACCUUUGUAUAGCUCCUUCGACGAGUCGAGUAGUUUGGGAAUGCUGCUCUAAAUGGGAGGUAUAUCUCUUCUAAAGCUAAAUAUAGGCUAGAGACCGAUAGCGCACAAGUAGAGUGAUCGAAAGAUGAAAAGCACUUUGAAAAGAGAGUUAAACAGCACGUGAAAUUGUUGAAAGGGAAGCGCCUAUGACCAGACUUGUUUCUUUCAGUUUUGUUAGUUCUCGGACUGAUUUACUCUGUUAGUACAGGCCAGCAUCAGUUUGUUGUCGGGGAGAAAGGCUUAGGGAAUGUGGCUCCUUCGGGAGUGUUAUAGCCCUUUGCAUAAUACCCUUCGGCAGACUGAGGACCGCGCUUCGGCAAGGAUGCUGGCGUAAUGGUCAUCAGCGACCCGUCUUGAAACACGGACCAAGGAGUCAACCUUAUGUGCGAGUGUUUGGGUGUAAAACCCCAGCGCGUAAUGAACGUGAACGUAGGUGAGAGCUUCGGCGCAUCAUCGACCGAUUCUGAUGUUCUCGGAUGGAUUUGAGUAAGAGCACACAGGGUUGGACCCGAAAGAAGGUGAACUAUGCUUGUAUAGGGUGAAGCCAGAGGAAACUCUGGUGGAGGCUCGCAGCGGUUCUGACGUGCAAAUCGAUCGUCAAAUAUGAGCAUGGGGGCGAAAGACUAAUCGAAACCUUCUAGUAGCUGGUUCCAGCCGAAGUU